rnacentral:rRNA from 1 species
GAUGAACGCUGGCGGCGUGCUUAACACAUGCAAGUCGAACGGAAAGGCCAGUGCUUGCUCUGGUGCUCGAGUGGCGAACGGGUGAGUAACACGUGGGUGAUCUGCCCUGCACUUUGGGAUAAGCCUGGGAAACUGGGCUUAAUCUCAGAUAGGACAAUGCUUUGGAUGGUAAGGAGGAGAGUUUUUUGGGUGUGGGAUGAGCUUGCGGCCUAUCCGCUUGUUGGUGGGGUAAUGGCCUACCAAGGCGUCGACGGGUAGCCGGCCUGUGAGAGUGUACGGCGACAUUGGGACGUAGGGGCGGCCGAGGUGGCGACGGGAGGCAGCAGGGGGGAAGAUUGCACAAGGGGCGCAAGCCGGAUGCAGCAGCGCCGCGUGGUGUAUGACGGCCUUGGUGUUGUAGACACCUAUCGCAACUGACGAAGGUUGUUGUGACGGUAGGUUGAGAAGAAGCACCGGCUAACUACGUG